CAUAGGUUAAUGAGGCGAACCGGGGGAACUGAAACAUCUAAGUACCCCGAGGAAAAGAAAUCAACCGAGAUUCCCCCAGUAGCGGCGAGCGAACGGGGAGCAGCCCAGAGCCUGAAUCAGUGUGUGUGUUAGUGGAAGCGUCUGGAAAGGCGCGCGAUACAGGGUGACAGCCCCGUACACAAAAAUGCACAUGCUGUGAGCUCGAUGAGUAGGGCGGGACACGUGGUAUCCUGUCUGAAUAUGGGGGGACCAUCCUCCAAGGCUAAAUACUCCUGACUGACCGAUAGUGAACCAGUACCGUGAGGGAAAGGCGAAAAGAACCCCGGCGAGGGGAGUGAAAAAGAACCUGAAACCGUGUACGUACAAGCAGUGGGAGCACGCUUAGGCGUGUGACUGCGUACCUUUUGUAUAAUGGGUCAGCGACUUAUAUUCUGUAGCAAGGUUAACCGAAUAGGGGAGCCGAAGGGAAACCGAGUCUUAACUGGGCGUUAAGUUGCAGGGUAUAGACCCGAAACCCGGUGAUCUAGCCAUGGGCAGGUUGAAGGUUGGGUAACACUAACUGGAGGACCGAACCGACUAAUGUUGAAAAAUUAGCGGAUGACUUGUGGCUGGGGGUGAAAGGCCAAUCAAACCGGGAGAUAGCUGGUUCUCCCCGAAAGCUAUUUAGGUAGCGCCUCGUGAAUUCAUCUCCGGGGGUAGAGCACUGUUUCGGCAAGGGGGUCAUCCCGACUUACCAACCCGAUGCAAACUGCGAAUACCGGAGAAUGUUAUCACGGGAGACACACGGCGGGUGCUAACGUCCGU
rnacentral:rRNA from 1 species